UACGUAGGGGGCAAGCGUUGUCCGGAUUUAUUGGGCGUAAAGAGCGUGUAGGCGGCCACACAGGUCUGCUGUGAAAACUCGAGGCUUAACCUCGAGCUGUCGGCGGAAACCAUCUGGCUAGAGUCCGGAAGAGGAGAAUGGAAUUCCCGGUGUAGCGGUGAAAUGCGCAGAUAUCGGGAAGAACACCCGUGGCUAAGGCGGCUCUCUAGUACGGUACUGACGCUGAGACGCGAAAGCGUGGGGAGCGAACAGG
rnacentral:rRNA from 1 species